GUCUCCUCUCCACCCUGUGGGUGGGUACAACACAGAAAGAGUCAAAUCUUUCAUUUAUCAACCUUUUAAACCAUCGAAGACAGUGAUCAUGCCGUCCUUAGGGAGGAUUAUUGGGAUUCAGGGAAUAGAGAUGAAAUGUUGUGUUAUGAGUGGAUGGGCUGAGCACAGACAUCACAUGUGUCACCAGGCUACAGAAAAGUUUGCGAAUCAACCCUUCUGCUUCUACCUUCAUAUAUUUGGAUAAACCAGCUCCCGAGAGAGAAGAACAUAGGGCUCUAAAAGUAGGAAAAAUGGUGGAACAAAGAAACCUUGAUGAAGAGGUAAGGCAUGAGUGGUUCAGUGAAUGAAGCUGUAGUUUUGCUGGUCGUCUUGAAACAUAGUGGCCACACCUAAAGAACAGCUGAAGACCCUCCUGGGUUCAUCCUCUUAAGCAGACAUGUGCCUCACAUGCCCACAUCUGCAACUUCCAGGGCUUUCUGUAGUGAGAGGAGAAUGGAAUUUUGCUCUCUGGACUCGGAACAACAUUGCAGGGAGGGAUAGUGGGGGUUCCCUG
rnacentral:lncRNA from 1 species